GGAAGUUCAAGUCUUCCCAGGCCCACCAUAUUUGCGCGCUUUGAAUUGAAGCUGCUGCUGACGUCGACUUUGCAUCUGCAAAACGUACUCUUCAUUGAGCGUUGAGCAUUCGUCUUCUGGAACGGGGGCAUAGCUCAGCUGGGAGAGCGCGUGCUUUGCAAGCAUGAGGUCGUCGGUUCGAUCCCGUCUGCCUCCACCAGAAACUGGUUGGAUGCUGAUGUUGAGAUCGUAACAAACAUUCAGUGUGUUCACGGAGCGCGCCAUUUGGGCAGCGCCUGAUGUAGUCCGCGUAAUAACUUCGCUUGCGACAGACUGUAGACGUCGCUUGCGGGAUUUAUGACAUCGUAAAGAGGAGAUCGUUCCGAGGUUCGGAUCUGCAAGCAAUUGCGGGUGCCGCAAUCAUAAUCUCCAGGAAUUGAGUGCGAACGCUUUGCUUGCAAAGCUUCCGCAUCUGCAAUUUCUUUUCAACGAAGCUUGACCGCCUCGUUGUCGGUUCGAUCUUACGAAGCAAACUGGUCUUUCUUAAUCAUAUCCAGCUGCAUGAAGUGCGCACGGCUUGACCGCCGGCGUGCGGAUUUUGCGUUUCCAAUUCGUUGGUUGCGCCAAGCAGCGUGCAGCAAACUCUGCCGAGUGUGUGGAUAUUGAUAAUGAGAGCAAUCAAGUGUCUUAAGGGUAUUCGGUGGAUGCCUUGGCAAUGAGAGGCGAUGAAGGACGUGCUACGCUGCGAUAAGCUAUGGGGAGCCGCGAAGAGGCUUUGAUCCAUAGAU
rnacentral:misc_RNA from 1 species